AGUGAGGUAGGUUAUUUUUUGACUAUAUGUUUUCAAAACAUAAGGUGGUAUUUUUUAUCUCUCGCUG
rnacentral:tRNA from 1 species